GACGAACGCUGGCGGCGUGCUUAACACAUGCAAGUCGAACGCUGAAGCUCAGCUUUUGUUGGGUGGAUGAGUGGCGAACGGGUGAGUAACACGUGAGUAACCUGCCUCCUUCUUUGGGAUAACGCCCGGAAACGGGUGCUAAUACUGGAUAUUCACUGGUCUUCGCAUGGGGGUUGGUGGAAAGGGUUUUUCUGGUGGGGGAUGGGCUCGCGGCCUAUCAGCUUGUUGGUGGGGUGAUGGCCUACCAUGGCUUUGACGGGUAGCCGGCCUGAGAGGGUGACCGGUCACAUUGGGACUGAGAUACGGCCCAGACUCCUACGGGAGGCAGCAGUGGGGAAUAUUGCACAAUGGGCGCAAGCCUGAUGCAGCGACGCCGCGUGAGGGAUGGAGGCCUUCGGGUUGUGAACCUCUUUCGCUCAUGGUCAAGCCGCAACAAUGGUUGUGGUGAGGGUAGUGGGUAAAGAAGCGCCGGCUAACUACGUG
rnacentral:rRNA from 1 species